CCGCCGAGGCCCAGCGUGAGCACCUCAGCGCGGCCUUCAGCCGGCAGCUCAACGUCAAUGCCAAACCCUUUGUGCCCAACGUCCACGCCGCCGAGUUCGUGCCGUCCUUCCUGCGUGGCCCGGCCCAACCGGCGCCGGCGCCGGCGCCAACCACCACGGAGCCUGCAGUGGCGCGGGAGGCCCUUCGGGCAAAGGGGCCGGGACGCGGAAGCAGCCGAGCGGGAGGCCGGAGCCCACCUUGGUGGGGUGUGGGGACACGUCUGCGGUUCGCCUCGCAGGGCGGGGUACGCGCGGCCUCGGGGCCCGGCGGCACGUGGGGCGCUGACAGCGGCGCCGGGCGCGGGCAGCCCUGUGUGGGGCGGCCCGGGCGCGGCGGAGGGCCUGGAGGAGCGGUAGCUGCGUGUCGGCGACAUGGGAGGGAUCUAGAGCCCGUCCCUUCCCCGGGGGCCGCAGCUACCUACUAGAACUGAAAACCGUAUGGGACGGAGAGGGCCCGCGGCCAUCAGUACCAUGAGGCCCAGACGUGGGACAACUGGAACCAGGAGGUGGGUGGGCGUUGAGCGAGCCAGACUCAAGGAGCUGGGAGGACGAGCGCCCGACUUUUCCUUCACCUUAUGCCUAGGUGAGAGAGCGUUUCUUGCUCCAAUUUCUAUUAUUGAAACUGUAAUUAACGUUUUGGAUAUCUGGCACCGAAGUGUCCUGCAGGAAUCCCAAGAUGCAUUGUAGUCUUGGGAUCCCGCAGAAACUGUUGGCCAUCACUUCAGAGGUCUUUCAGUUUUGUAAAGCAUUGUGUAAGCUUGUAAAGUUAACAGUGUCAAAAGUAAGAGGUCCUCCCGUAAUGUGUAUAGGAAACUACAUUGAUUUGUGUUCUCUUUUUCUUAAGUGGUGCUUGUCUUCUUAGUGACACGUUUAGAAUUUUAAUUUCGUCAAAAUCGGAUAGCUUAUUCAGGCUGUGUGGUAUUGUAAGUCACUCUUUAUGUUCACGUGUCAGUAAUUAGCCUGUUCAGAUACUUGGUAUUAUAGCUUACUAGUUGUCACGUGCCGUUCUGACCAUAGCUAGUAGACUGUUUUGUGUGUUUUCAAGUCAGGUUUGGUCUUUAAAAAGCUUUCUGUAUUUCGGGGCUGCUUAAGUGAUAGGAUGACAUGCUUUCGGGUACUGAUCUUGUGGGAAUGUCAGAUGUGUGAAGUUAACUAUUCUCCCCUGUAUGAAAAAGUGCUUAUUUUACGAACUGUCAAUAUUGGCUUAAAGAGAGAAAGGAAUGUACCUUCGUGAGCCAGGGUAUUGGAGAACCAUAUCACAGAUGUUCUUGGCAAUUUGUGAGAAUCGAUUGUUGAUUUCUCUUUGAAGUUCCACGUUGUAUUUCCUAGAUAAAUGGACAUCAUAAAAGUCUCUGGGAGUUUAGCUUCUUCAGAAACUUGCCACAGUUUCUGUAUUAGAGGCAGAGAGCUUGGAGAAGUACUUCUGUGAAGUAAGUACAUAUAUGAGCACAGUUUGAAUUUGGUUGUUUGAUUUUCUUGAUGUUUUGCCUUUUAACAAGGAAACUUAGUAUUUAUUUCUUUGCUUAGAUCAAGCAGUUUGGCCUACUUAAAUAAAGUUCACUUACCAGCCCCUAAAAGUGCCCGGUUCCCCAUACCUUAUCAUGCAGAUUCCUUUUAUCCAGCCAUUUUCUUGUUUCUUUUUUGGCCGUCCCUCCUCACUCUGGAGCCACCAGCACCACUCUGGCUAGACUUGGAACUCCAUUUCCAGCUUGUCCAUCCAUCAGCCAGUGAGUCAGGAAGGGACAGCCAUCCUCAGAGCAGUGAUCUGGAGUAGACAUUGUUGGGUGACUAGGUAGGUAGGUUGGGUGACUGUUAGGUAGAAGAGCUGUCUUUCCUCUUACUGGCAUUUGCCAACUUGCUGGUUUAUUCUUAAUCCUUUUCUCUGUGACACUGUUAGAAGUGGAGAUGUAAAAAUAUCUAAGGAAGCGGUUAUAAGAGAAGUACUUUCUUUGUUACUUGGUGGUCAGUUUUUUUCAGUUAUAUCAAACUGUUUUGGUGUUACUGACUUUGUCAACUGCUUCUACAAAAUGCCAGUUCAUAUUUUUAAAAGUGUCCUCCUUAGGGUUGUCUAUUGGAAAAGAAUGGUUUCUAAAUUGAGGUCCAGAGAGAUGUGGGACUGUUGGAUUGCAUGUUUGAACCCAUAGAGGUCCAUAAAGUACCACCAUCAUAGCAGAGAACUAUGCCUGGAAGAAGCAAAGAAAAAAAUUGGAACUUGCCCUUAGAAAUUUACAAAGGGGGAGCCAUAAAAGUUGCAAGUUUUUUUAUAGUGAGGAAAUAAACAGAAGGGGAGCAUCUUUUCUUUGGUUGUUAAGCCCUUGUUGAGAUUUGUUGUGGGUCCCUGUUUUUAAACUAGAUAGGAGGAAGAGCUCUUGAAGGAGGAAGUCUAGAGGUAGAACACUGAAUGACUUCCUAACUGUUCCUGUCUAGGAUGAAUAUCUGUCAUUUCUCCUGAAAACAGGCUAGUUGGGUUUUUCUGGUGGUUCCUUGAGCAGCCAGUUGCCAUAAAUGUUUUUGCACAGUGUCAGAAGGCUGCUGGGUGGUUAUGCCUGUUUCCAGCCAUCCCAAGUCAAAACUUGGGAUUCCGUGUUGAUCUUAGCUCUCAGAAAAAGUAAUACAGGUUUCCAACGGAAUGAUUAAGUAGAAUACAAAUUAAGUGUAACCAAGUGUAAUUCAUUUAAGUUCAGUUCUCUACAGAUCCAAGUAAAUUGACUACGUGAUGCUCUUUAAAGUAGAAGUCCUGAAAUGAAUGAAAAUGUGGAAGACAAGGGUUGUGUGUAAGAGAACAAACAUUUUCUAUGCUAGAAUGUACAUAUUUUACUUAUUUUGAGUUUCAAUUUGCACACAGUUCAUUCUUUUUUAUUGUUGAAUGAGAAGUAAGUUUAGCGAUUUAAUUCAGGAUUACUUGGUGUCUUAGUCCAUUUGGGCUGCUGUGUAGUACAGUACCACAGACUAGGUAGCUUGUAAACAAAAUUUUUAUCCCUCACAGCUCAGGAGGCUGGAAGACCGCGAUCAGGGUGCCACCCUGGUCAGAUGAGGGCCUCCUUCCCUCUCUCAGAUCAGAUUGCUGACUUCUUGUUCUCACAUGGUGGAAGGGGCAAGGGAGCUCCCUGGGGCCUCUUUUAUAAAGGAGCUGUUUGUAAAAUGCAUUCUUGAGGGCUCUGCCGUUAGGACUUAUGUCCUCCAAAAAAACCCCACCUAAGUCCAAUACGUGAGGCAUUAGAAUUUCAACAUAUGAAUUUUGGGGGGGACACAAACAUUUCAGAGCAUAGCACUUGGACUUGUAGAGCAUCCAGGCUUCUGUAGUAAUGGUGUGGUGUCCUUUCCACCACCGCACCCUUAGCAUCUCUCAGAACUCUGCCAGUAAAAAAUGAAUAUAGAAUAAAAAUAAAACCAGCGGUCCUCAGAGGAGGAACUAUCUCCAAAACAUAGCACAUUGUAUUAUGGAACCUGAAUUUUAAAGAGAAAUGUUCUGUUUCAUAGUACUUGGUUUUUGAUGGGUGUCUUUUAAUGGGGAAGGAAUGUUCUUUUUUUUAGUGACAGAGAUAUAAUUCACAUAUCACAGAAUUCACUGUAGUGGUUUUUAGUAUAUUCACAAAGUUAAUGCAACCGUCACUACUACGUGGUGGUUGCUUGUUAAUCACUGAGUAGUCUCAAAAGUGACCUCUUCAGGGUCACCAGAGUAGAGUGCAGAAUCUUACAUAAUUGCUUUGUUCAGAAGGCCUCUUAGGCUUUAUUAUGAUUUUAAGUGAUACCUGUUGACUGAGAGAUAAGUUUAGACAGAAGAUAGGUGAGGUUCUUGACUGGAUUUUCCUUUUCCCAUGAGACUGAAAUCCCUGCAGUAACAAAGUCUUCAGUGGGACAGUAAGUAAAGUAGGCAGAGAAGGUGAGGGGAAAAUACUGUUCCAGGAGUGUUAUUUCUUUUCCUGCCUCGUUUUCUAGCUAGUUAUUUCUUACCUUGACUUAACCAAUUAUUAGAUUUGGGCUCUUAUUUCCUGAUUUUACAUGCUUGCAAUGGCUCCAGCGUGAGGAUUUAGGGAGUAAGCGAAGGCAUUACAUGAACCAGUGCUUUCCUUGUGAGCAGCUAUUUGAACUGGUAAGAAAUUUUGAUUGAGAAUAGGCCCUCUUUGGAGCAGCUUUUAUUUACUGCAGCUUUUGUACAUGGCUUUCUUCUGUCCCUUGUUUUUCACCUUCUCUGGAAUUGUACUGCAAGAAAAGAUAGCGAUUAAAAUUUCUCAGGGCGAGUUAGGGAAGUAGAGUAGAUGACAAGUUUUAAGUCUUGUUUUGUUUUUGUUUGCUGGGGAGGAAAUGUCUUAAAGUGUUAAAAUAUUACUGUUUUUCUAGUCGAAGAGAAAGGAAUGAAAAGGAUUCGAUAGUCUUUUGUGAAUGCAGGAUACUGUGCUGGGCACUUGAAGUGACACCACAAGAUGAAUUAAUCGUAGUCCUGGAGUCUAGAAAGAAAAUGCAGGAUACUGUGCUGGGCACUUGAAGUGACACCACAAGAUGAAUUAAUCGUAGUCCUGGAGUCUAGAAAGAAGUGAGAGAAACAGUAAGGAUUUUUUGAGCAUCUUUCACCAGCCUAACCUAAGAGUGGUUACACCCAAUCCAAACCACAUUCCAAACAGGUAAUUGUAAGCCACUGACCUUGAACAAAGCAGAAAGUGCAUGCCUUAGAAUGUUGUUGGGGCAAUCUCUGGGUUGACCGUUUCUGUAGAACCACAGUGGGCCACUGUACUACUCAGUGGUGUGUCCAGUUCCUUUGGAUGGUUGGUUUUGGUUGCAAGGUAAGUGUAUUUCUGUUCCCUUUGUACCUUAAUGGGGCUGUCUGCAAAGUAUUUUAAGUUCACCUACAAUUUUUUUUGAAGUAAAUAGGAUAUACAUUAUAAAUAAACCUGUUUUAGGGUUGUUUGAAAAACAUAGUGGAUCUUAGUUACUCUACAGAAAGCCCACUCAGGUGGAUGUGUGUCAUUGCUUUUAGUGAAUGAAUAGUUCGUAGAAUGUUAGGGCUGGAAGUGACCCUGGCAGUAGUACAGUCUUAUCAGAUAAAGAAACUGAAGCCUACAGAUAGUGACUCCAAUUCAGCAACAGUGGAGUCUGGAAUCUGUUUGCCAACUGCUAGCUUAGUGCCCUUUCAAUUACACCGUGCUGUUGACCGGGGAGAAGGGCAUCCCUGGGGCUAACAUCUUGACCACCAACCAGCAUGGAUUUCCUGAGAGAGGCCCUAGAAUUUGCCUUUCUUGUGUUUAUUCUUCAAAAGUUUUGUUAAUAUGGGGCUUUGAAAAGCUUGUAAUGGUAAACUUAUUGAGCAGUUACUUGCUUCAUAUGCUUUUAUCUUCACAACAAUCUUUUGAGGUUAUGUUGAGCCCUUUUAUAGAUAAGAAAAUUAAGGCUCAGAAAAGCUAAAUAAAUGAGGUGACAUCUCCUAGUAAGUGGAGGAGCCAGGGUUAGACUCUACGUCUGAUUUCAAAGUUUAUUCUAGUAAUAAUAACUCAGCUAGUCUUCUCCCUGUGAUUUGCUAUGAAAAGGUCUUUUUGGCUGAGACACUUUUUCAGCAACUGAGUCCGUGAGAUUGUGGCCUAUGGCACCGCCUCCCUGUUCUGUCUCAGUAGUAGCAGGGUGACGUUGUGAUAAGUAGGCAAUGCUCUACUUUGAAAUCACUUCUUCCUACAUUUUAGGAAAUAAUGUGAGAUAAUUUGAAACAGUUCUGUUCACCGCUAUAGCAUUGUACCUUUUUAUUUUGAGAGCAUAGGUAGUUAAGGCAAAACCAUGGACAUUUCAUGUGUUGUGUGGGCGUUUGGUUGUGAUGUCUGCCUUUACUGGUUUUCAGUAUUGUCUGUGGGAGAAAAAUACCUCAGGCAGGCGGAUUUGGUUGGGAGUGUAUGGUCAUCUGGGUGCUAGAGAAUUUUUAGUUUCUUAUGCAAAUUGUACUUCAGCAUCUCUUCAGUAUUGUUUCUCUAACCCCUUCUUGGAAAACUGACACAUACAAAGUUGUUUUUAGUCUAUCGAACCCUGAUGGAAAUGCAGUAAAUAUAUAGGUGGACUGCUACAGAUGGUGAGAAAACUGAAGUGAUAAGACUCUAAGGAACUAGUGACCUCUGAAAACCAAAAGAAACGGCUGCAGUCCAGGCACAGUGAAUUACAUACUUACUCGGUACGUACACCGUUUCAGCCUGUGGAGACUUUACAGGAGAUGGGAAAAGGCUCUGUAUUUCAGAAAACCACACUCAUUCUGGAAGUUUCUAAUGUCUUAGGGAACGAAAACUGAGAUCUGUGUGUGGGUGUGCUUACAGCUGCAAGAAGGGUCCUACCCUAGAGGAGCUCAGAAGAGCCAUCAUAAGCUGGGUAAUGGGGUGGGUGGGGGGUGGGAUAAAAGUGGAAAGAUUUGUACUACAAUUGAGGAGAUUCCUUAAGAGGAUCUAGAACUGUGCACUUAUGGCUCUUUAAAUUAAUUAAAACUAAAUGUUUCAAUUAAAAAUUCAGUUUCUUGGUCAUAGCCACCUUUCAAGUGCUUAAUAGCCACAACGUGGCUAAGUGACAGUCAUAUCACAGCACAGAAACAGAACAUUUCCAUCAUUGCAGAAGCUUGUAUUGGACAGAAUUUUGUCACAAUGUUUCUCACUUCAAGGUAGCGUAAGACACUUGUGACUUUUGCGACAGCACUGAAGUUUUUAUUCAUUAAUAAUGAACACCAUUUAGCCAACAGGACUAAGAAAUUUAAGUAGGAUGACUUUUGCAUAUUGUUGUUUUGUGUGUAAAGAGAUGAAAGAUUAGUUUUAUACAUAUAAAGCAGUACACAUUUAAGUUGCUGAUUUAUGGACUAUGUGGGUUAAGCAAUUUAAGAAUUGGCCAGACUUUUAUAUUUAAAAUAUAACUUGAAUUGAAACCUGGUUUUCACAGCCCACCACGAGUGUGGCCUUCACUGUACCCAUGAUCUGGCCAAGUAAGAUCUCCGUGUUAAAGUCCUUUGAUCCAUAAUCAAAUCUUUAAAAAAAUUGUAUUUUUAAAAAUUGAGGUGAAAUCCAUAUGACAUGAAAUUAACCAUUUGAAAGUGAACAGUUUGGUGGCAUUUGGUACAUUCACAGUGCUGUGCAGCUUACUACCUCAAGGUUCCAAACAGUCUCAUCGCCUCCAAAGGAAAUCAUACUUUUCAAGCAAUUGUUUAACACUCCCCUUUUCCCAGCUUUUGGCAACCACCAAGCUACUUUCUGUGUGUAUGAAUGUACCUAUUCUGAAUAUUUCAUGUGAAUGGAAUUGUACCUGUGAUCUGUUGUGUCUGGCUUAUUGCACCAUUAUCAAAUUUUAACUAGUUUUAAGAUUCACAGUAUCAUCUUUGUUAAACCAUAGGCAGUACUGUUGCCUGACUGUCUUUUGGUAAAAUCUUUCACUUCUUGUUUUAAAAUUUUGGGUAAUAUACCUUUUAUCACAGCCAGUUCAUUAAUCUUCCUUUACCAUAAAGGAUAGCAUUCGUUUCUUUUAAUUUGAGGUAUGGCAGUUUUAUUAACUAGUACACUUCUGAUAAACUUUCCCACCUAAUUAGAAUUGUUCUUUUUUGAAUACUUGAUGAGGGUGUGUACUUGAUGAGGAUGUAUCUUCUGAACAUGGAGAUACCAUUAGGAAAUAUGAAACUGAUUUCAUUCCUUGGGAGGUUGACUAACUUCUCUUCGACUAGCAGAUAUGAAGUGUGCAGGACUUGGAAAUCAAGCCCCAAUGGUUAUGUUUGCCAGCCAUGAACAAGUGACUUUGGAGCUGGUAGAAUUACAAGCCUAUGCUCAUUAGUAGCGAGUAAAUCUGGAUGUGAUGUAUAUUAUGAAUAAUAGGAGUAGAAUGAGAAAGGGUUGGAGAUGUGUGUGAGAGAAGAGACUGGGUACAAAUACACUGACAAGUUUAAAUGUAAAGAACAUGUUGCUGUAUCUGUGAUUUUUCUGGUUCAUUGCUCCAAAAACAUCAGUUCGCAGAUGUUGCCACCAUUGCCAUUUGAAUUGUAACGUGAUCCGUGGUCUGAAUGCAAGGAUAAGCUUUUUUUCUUCCAUCCUGGGGAAACUAUUGUCAGCUUCUUAUUUUGAGGCCCUUUAAUGUCAUCAUUACGUGUAUAUUAAUAACUUAAUUGCUGUUUGUACUUGACCCUGUCCCUGCCUCUGUAAGCUGUACAAACUCAAGACAAAUGCAUUAUAAAUGUAGGGUGUUUUGAAAAAUGAAACCAUGAACAGAUUUUUAUUAUGCUGCGUUAUGCAGCCAUGGAGGUAGUCUUAUGACUGAUGUCACUGUCCUGAGAGGUGCCUUACAGCCUUAGGCAUGUAUUGUAUAUUUGUAAAUCUAAGAGUUGGUUGUAGAACCAGGUGUUGAGGUGUGUGUACUGUUGGGUCUUAUAAAGCCCAUUUGCAGUUUGGGAUGUCUUAUAAGUGAUGAGAGAGCCCCCCAUACUGAUUGUCUCCGUCUUCCUUGCCUUACAAUGCUUGACCAUCCUAACUGUGUCAUCACUUACUCGGUUUACUUUUACUGAGGGAUUUUCAGCAGGGGCUGUCUGAGGAAGGGCAAGGUGGCAUUUGUGUAACUUGGAGAAGCCCAUUCGAAUAUGUCAGAAUGUUUGGUAAGUUACCGCUUACUUCAUAGGGUUUGGGGGGAGCUUAAAUAAGAUAGCAAUCAGCACAUGAGGGCUCAAUAAAAAUUUAAAGGGAUUUAGGGUAAUUUGCCACAACCUCCAACCCUGCCUCCAGCACUGUGGAUUUGUGAGUGUUUCUAUCCCUGUCUGGCCCAUAAUAGAUGUGCAGUACAUGUUAGUUGAGAGAAUUGAACUGAUGGCUCAUUACAUAUUAGGGAGUGGGGAGUCACUUGUUGAAUAUCUCUUAGGUGCGAGGAGUUCUUUAAUUGAAACUAAACAAAUGCUUAUUCUCAUUCAGUGCUCUAAGCAGUUCUCUCAGGCAGAUGACAUGCCAUUUCCAUGAUUCAGUGAAAUAAUUGCCUCUCACAACUUGUACAUGACACUGUAGGUUUUAAAGCCAGGAGUCAGCCCAGUGCUGGCCUCUCAGCACCAGCGUCUGCUGCCUCCUCCAUCCUGAGGUUCGCACGUCAGCCUGAUCACCUAGCACUGCCUGACUUUCUCUGGAAGUUGAGUGAUUUUUCCUUACUAUACCUGUAAACUUUUCUUUUAAAUAGGAAGUGAAAAAAAAAUCUUUUGUGAAGUACAAUUCCUCUUCCUUCCAAACCUAGUUCAAAUGCUUUUUCCAUUUCUGUUAACAUCCUGCUAAUCGCAUAGGUUGGGGUGUCUUAGACCCUUCACUCUUCCUUCCUGCACCUGUCCGGUGUCACCCCUGUUACCUCUGUGUUUAGCCUCUCCUCUCCAGCUGCACUGCGCCGCGGUGGGAGCCAUGCUGAUGUUGCUGGCUGAGGUGUCUUUCCAUUCAAAGGUCAUCCAAAUACCACUGUGUAGGAUCAUCUGCAGCUGCGACGCUCAGCAUGUCACUUCUCAAAAGAUCUUGGUUGCCCUUUACCUUUCAGGGGCAAGAAACUCCUUUCUUCACUACUUCAUAUUAUGGAAGAUUGGGCCCAAAACUUUUCUUGACUUACAGGUCUUAACACUCCAGGGGAGUGAGUUUAAAUGUAACUUUGAGAGAUUAUGAAUUCACUGUUUAUUGGUGUGCAGGAUUCAUGUGACUUCAAAUUCUUCAAUGUCUUUUUUGCAUCUUGGAGAUUCUUUAAAGCAAGGGCACUUUCAUACCGGAGUAUCAUUAGGCUUUCAGAUAUAAAAAUAAACUUAAACAUUUAAGUAUCAGUAUAUAUUUCUCAUACAUCUCUUUCAGUAAUAUCAUAAGUAGAUUUUCAGCGUGACAAUUGUGGAAACUGGAUUGUUUCUUGAUCUUAGAAUUCUAAUAGAGGGACAAAAACAGUGUCAUUUUAAUCAUCAUUUCUGAGAUGUCAUAAGGGCCCAUACACAUUUCAGGGACUUUAUAUGAAUGUCCUUUGUACUUUCUUGGUAUCAAAUAGAACUUAUUCCAGGAUCUUGAUGAUAAAAUAUGUAUGAUUAUAGAAUUUUUAAAAGGGCUAAUCAUAGCCUUCUUUGACUACAGCUACCAAGAGAAACUAGAGAAGUAAUGUGUCUUUGUUGAGCAAAAUCUUACUAAUCUGAUCUGUGUAUGCUGUUGAUUACUCUUUAAAUAUCUGUGACAGAAAAGUUUUUGAAGCAAAAUACGAGAACAAGCAUACUUUUAUGAGUACAUUUCCAUUACUGAAAAGGUUUCAAAAUUGGCUGUGAUUGGCAGAUUUUUAGAAGUAGGUUAAACAGACUUAUAGUUUGAAAACCUGAGUUAGUUGCCAUUAGUUAGGUCUGGAUUGUUGAGAUUUUUGUUGGGUUAUUGAAUUUAUGUUUUUACUGUAUUUUAGAACAUAAAUAAAAUGGAUGUGUA